rnacentral:lncRNA from 1 species
GAGGUUAGGCCAACUCAAGGAGGAAGGUGACAAGAGGGGCCUCAUGGGUUGCUCUAGUCUUGAUCUAAGAUGAGUAGUAUGGCCAAAAAUGGACAGCAUAACAUUACUCAAAAUCAAAGAUGAAAGAAAAGGGUGGAGACACCUCUAUUUAUAGGCCAAGGGUGUCUCCUUUUAACCCUAAAAGCAUGAUCUCCCACCUUUGCUCUCAUUGGCCAAAAAUGAGGCCUUCUAACCUCCAAUGAUGGGAGGACAUGUGGCCACUCUAUUGACAAAUUGGCGAGUGCACCAAAUCGUACAAGUAAUAUAAAUGGUAAGACCAAGUAUCGUUUUCCCAAGAGACUCGAAUGGCUUUCUCGUUCGCGUGAAUUAAAAUAAUAAGACUUGAAAAUAAAAAUUAAUAAAUUGGAUUUGAGAGCAAAAAUAUUAACAUGCAAAAUAAAGUUGAUUCAAUUGACAAAAGAAAACAAUGGAUGAAUGGAUGUUGUUGGGGGUUUACAAUUUCAUCUAAUCCGCUCUCUCUUACCUACUCCUCUUGAAUAUUAGUUUGAUCAAUUAAUUGUUAUGCGACUUUCUUAGCCUCCCCUUAACCCGAUCCCUCGUCGAAAAGAGCCUAAUAUUAACUACUGGCUUGCUAUCCCUAGCCUCCCUGAUGAGUCGAUAUUUUAUUGAUUUCAC